UAAGGGCGCACGGUGGAUGCCUUGGCACUAGAAGCCGAUGAAGGACGUUACUAACGACGAUAUGCUUUGGGGAGCUGUAAGUAAGCUUUGAUCCAGAGAUUUCCGAAUGGGGAAACCCAGCAUGAGUUAUGUCAUGUUAUCGAUAUGUGAAUACAUAGCAUAUCAGAAGGCACACCCGGAGAACUGAAACAUCUUAGUACCCGGAGGAAGAGAAAGAAAAUUCGAUUCCCUUAGUAGCGGCGAGCGAAACGGGAAGAGCCCAAACCAACAAGCUUGCUUGUUGGGGUUGUAGGACACUCUAUACGGAGUUACAAAGGACGACAUUAGACGAAUCAUCUGGAAAGAUGAAUCAAAGAAGGUAAUAAUCCUGUAGUCGAAAAUGUUGUCUCUCUUGAGUGGAUCCUGAGUACGACGGAGCACGUGAAAUUCCGUCGGAAUCUGGGAGGACCAUCUCCUAAGGCUAAAUACUCUCUAGUGACCGAUAGUGAACCAGUACCGUGAGGGAAAGGUGAAAAGCACCCCGGAAGGGGAGUGAAAUAGAACCUGAAACCGUGUGCUUACAAGUAGUCAGAGCCCGUUAAUGGGUGAUGGCGUGCCUUUUGUAGAAUGAACCGGCGAGUUACGAUUUGAUGCAAGGUUAAGCAGUAAAUGUGGAGCCGUAGCGAAAGCGAGUCUGAAUAGGGCGUUUAGUAUUUGGUCGUAGACCCGAAACCAGGUGAUCUACCCUUGGUCAGGUUGAAGUUCAGGUAACACUGAAUGGAGGACCGAACCGACUUACGUUGAAAAGUGAGCGGAUGAACUGAGGGUAGCGGAGAAAUUCCAAUCGAACCUGGAGAUAGCUGGUUCUCUCCGAAAUAGCUUUAGGGCUAGCCUCAAGUGAUGAUUAUUGGAGGUAGAGCACUGUUUGGACGAGGGGCCCCUCUCGGGUUACCGAAUUCAGACAAACUCCGAAUGCCAAUUAAUUUAACUUGGGAGUCAGAACAUGGGUGAUAAGGUCCGUGUUCGAAAGGGAAACAGCCCAGACCACCAGCUAAGGUCCCAAAAUAUAUGUUAAGUGGAAAAGGAUGUGGCGUUGCCCAGACAACUAGGAUGUUGGCUUAGAAGCAGCCAUCAUUUAAAGAGUGCGUAAUAGCUCACUAGUCGAGUGACACUGCGCCGAAAAUGUACCGGGGCUAAACAUAUUACCGAAGCUGUGGAUUGUCCUUUGGACAAUGGUAGGAGAGCGUUCUAAGGGCAU
rnacentral:rRNA from 1 species